CUCACUUUUUUCUCCUUGAGAAAGGAGGCACAACCUUUCUUCUGCUGUUUAAAUCUUCUAACUCUAGUUUGUUAUUUAUUUCUAAUGCGGAUUUUCACAAAGAAAGUUCAGAAAGAUCAUUGUUCGUGGCAUUUCAACGAAACCUCAUAUGGGAGGUAAUGCAGCCUUUCACUCUCUUCUCGAGCUUGAUUUUGAUACUCCUUUCCCAAGGCCCCUUGGUGCAUGUGGUGCUUCCCUAUUUACGUUUGGUGAGCCCUAUACAGCUGUUAAGACUUCAAAUUGAAGAUAGCUUUCUUCUCAAAUCGAAGAUAGCUGUUAUAGAAAAGCAGCCAAUGUUUUGUCUUUCUCGAAGAAUGGAAUAGGUUUGUGAAAGACAGAAAAAGAGUUGAAAUCUAAUGAUCGAUGCCCACAAAGAGAAAAGAAAUAAAUGAUAGUUAUAGAGUGAAGAUAUGGAGAUAUAACUUGGCUUGGAAGAGAAACCUUGGAUUAAGUUUGAUGGAGGAAGACGGCAAGGAAGAUUAUUGUUUGGCUAUCCAAUGGAGGAAAGGAAAUAAGAAACAACAAAAAAAAUUUGUUUCGACUUUUGUAAAGAAGGUCAAGGGUUUGUUGAAACUUAGGCCCUAAUCAUCCUUAUUUAGGUAACCAUCAUUACACAUGAUAAUUGUGCAAAGUUAUGGCAGAAUGCCUUCUGUUGAAUAAUGAGUUAUAUUGUAAUAAAAGGUUUUAGAGGUUAAAUCCAAACGAACCCUUAAGCCCUCUUGGGUUUGUAUUUCAUCAUAAAUAAGAAAGGAUUGUGCUCAUUAAUGCACAAGUCCAAAUUUCCCUAAUUAUUCAUGGUGUCAGAGUAGGUUUGCUCACAACCCUAAAUCCCAUUCCCCAUUACCUUUCUUCUCCCUUCCAUCGCCCUAACCCCUUCCUACGCUUCCCAUCCAACCACGGCCACCCUCUCUCCUUUGCAUCACCGCCACCACCUUCCUCUCCCUCUUUUGCCCUAAACUAGCCACAGCCGCUGCCGUGGCCCUCGUCAAUCUCCUCUCUCCCUUGUGCUAAACCAGCCACCGCCACUCUCUCUCUCCCUUUUGCACUGAACCAGCAACCACCACCACCCCCUUUCUCUCUCUCGCUUUGUGUUAAACCAGCCAUUGCCACUCUUUCUAUGCAUAGCUAAACCCUAUCCUUAGAUCUAACCCCAAACCUAACCCUACUCUCUCUCUCUCUCUCUCUCUCUCUCUCUCUCUCUCUCUCUCUCUCUCUCUCUCUUGUGGUUUCCCUUUAGUGGGAGAUUUUAUCUUUUUUAGGCUUUCUCCCUUGUUUGUGAGUGUUUUCUUACCGGGGGCUCUUGUUUGUCUCGGUUCGUGAUCCAGAUCACUAUGCUUAUUUAAAUCUAGAUUUGUGGCUUUCUUGUGAUUGUUUAUUGAAUCUACACCCAUGGCAUCUGAAGAUUAUGGAAGAUCAGUUACUCAAGGAGGGGUCGUUCCUCUAAUCAUGACCAUCCUCUCUAGUCUCUUCCCUAUUAGCACCAUUAAUCCAGAUGGGAGCAAUUAUCUGAUAUGAUCUUGAUCUUACUACCUAUCGAUUGUUGGUCACGGUUAUGCUAGAUUUCUCAUAGGUGAUUUGGUACACCUUAUUAGUGUUGGUUCUACUCAGGAUAAAUGGGAUGCUGCAAAUUGGAUGGUAAUGUCUUAUCUUAUUAAUUCUAUGUCUCCUUUUAUUGCUCGAAAAUAUCUGUUACUUAAUUCUACUGAUAUGAUAUAGAAGGCCGCUAAGGGCACCUAUUCCACAUGGGCAAACGUACCCAGGGUUUUGAACUAAGGAUAAAGGUCCAUCGAGCUACUCAAAAGAAGAUUUUUAUGGUUCAAUAUUACUCUGAUCUGCAGGGUAUAUAGAAUGAGUUGACUAUUAUGAGAUUUAUCAACCUGGUUGUGAGAUUGAUGUUGUUGGGUUUAAGAAGCCUGAGGAAGAGCUUGGCAUUUUAUGAUUUUCUAGUAAGUAUCAAUGUGGAAUAAGAUCAGAUUAGGGCUAAUUUGCUCAAUUAUGAUACUUCACCCACUCUUAAGGAGGCCUAUUCCAUAAUUUAGGUUGAGGAGCAACAUCAAUCGAAGUAUGCUAUAGCCUAUUUCUUAGGAUUGUUCUGCUCUGAUUUCUACUACUGCUAUUGGUUCACAAACUGCUAACCCAUUCUCUACUAAUAAAUCGGUUGUUAAAUGUGACUACUGUGGUAAGGAGCGGCAUGCCAGGGAGACAUGUUGGAAGCUUCAUGGACAUUCCAGCAACACUUAUGGUCGUAAUCAGGGUCAUGGGAAGAACACUCUAGCCAAUCAAUCUAAGACUACAACCGAUUCUGAUAGCUCGACUGUGACAGAAUCCUCAAUCUCUACUGAUGAGAUGGCUAUGCUUCAUCAUAUGCCGACUCAGAUGGGAUCCUCCAUAGCUGCUAUUGCCUCCUCUUUACCAAUAGUCACUACCUCCUACUCAGCACACUCAGGUUACCUUUCCCCUAUUAUUGGAUUGGGUUCCAUUUAGUGCUCUCCUUCAUUGUCUUUGUCCUCUGUGUUAGAUGUUCCUUAGUUUUCUACUAAUUUAUAGUCUACUGCUAGUAUUACUAAAGAUUUGGACUAUAAAGUCACUUUCUUUCCUACUCACUAUGUAUUUCAAGACUUGGCGAUGGGGGCAAUGAUUGGCAAUGGUAGAAUGAGUGGUGGUCUCUAUUACCUGGACAUUGGUCCCUCACGGGCUCUACACAAAUCUUCUGAUUUAGCACUUUCAGAGUUUUUGGGUUGCAUCAUCGUCUGGGUCACCCCCAUGGGGCACUUUAUCUAAAUUAUUUUCUACUUUGGUUAGACAUUGUAGUGUGUACUAGUUUACUUGUGAUACGUGUGUUUUGGCCAAACAAACUCGGAAUGUUUAUCCUAUUUCU